GACGAACGCUGGCGGCGUGCCUAAUACAUGCAAGUAGAACGCUGAAGCGAGGAGCUUGCUCUUCUUGGAUGAGUUGCGAACGGGUGAGUAACGCGUAGGUAACCUGCCUUGUAGCGGGGGAUAACUAUUGGAAACGAUAGCUAAUACCGCAUAACAAUGGAUGACACAUGUCAUUUAUUUGAAAGGGGCAAUUGUUCCACUACAAGAUGGACCUGCGUUGUAUUAGCUAGUAGGUGAGGUAAUGGCUCACCUAGGCGACGAUACAUAGCCGACCUGAGAGGGUGAUCGGCCAAACUGGGACUGAGACACGGCCCAGACUCCUACGGGAGGCAGCAGUAGGGAAUCUUCGGCAAUGGGGGCAACCCUGACCGAGCAACGCCGCGUGAGUGAAGAAGGUUUUCGGAUCGUAAAGCUCUGUUGUAAGUCAAGAACGGGUGUGAGAGUGGAAAGUUCACACUGUGACGGUAGCUUACCAGAAAGAGACGGCUAACUACGUG
rnacentral:rRNA from 1 species